UACGAAGGGGGGCUAGCGUUGUUCGGAUUUACUGGGCGUAAAGCGCACGUAGGCGGAUUGUUAAGUGAGAGGUGAAAUCCCGGAGCUCAACUCCGGAACUGCCUUUCAUACUGGCAAUCUAGAGUCCGGAAGAGGUGAGUGGAACUCCUAGUGUAGAGGUGGAAUUCGUAGAUAUUAGGAAGAACACCAGUGGCGAAGGCGGCUCACUGGUCCGGUACUGACGCUGAGGUGCGAAAGCGUGGGGAGCAAACAGG
rnacentral:rRNA from 1 species